rnacentral:rRNA from 1 species
GACGAACGCUGGCGGCGUGCUUAACACAUGCAAGUCGAGCGGGGAACUUCGGUUCCCAGCGGCGGACGGGUGAGUAACACGUGGGUAACCUGCCUCAUAGUGGGGAAUAGCCUUCCGAAAGGAAGAUGAAUACCGCAUAAUACUCGGAAAUCACAUGAUUUCUGAGCCAAAGGAUUUAUUCGCUAUGAGAUGGACCCGCGGCGCAUUAGGUUGUUGGUGAGGUAACGGCGCACCAAGGCUUCGAUGCGUAGCCGACCUGAGAGGGUGAUCGGCCACAUUGGAACUGAGACACGGUCCAGACUCCUACGGGAGGCAGCAGUGGGGAAUAUUGCACAAUGGGGGAAACCCUAAUGCAGCAACGCCGCGUGAGUGAUGAAGGUCUUCGGAUCGUAAAACUCUGUCUUAUGGGACGAUAAUGACGGUACCAUAGGAGGAAGCCACGGCUAACUACGUGCCAGCCGCCGCGGUAA